UAUGGGGACAUUUUGAAUUAUGGGGACAUGACCGGUGUCCUCAUAAUUCUAACAGUGUAGAAGUGCUUCUAUACCUAGAGGGAGCUCAAAUCCAAAAUUUCUCCACAAGUCCCCAUAGUUCACAUUUACAUGAUUUUGUGUAAAACGUGUGUAUCGAGACAGUGCCCCUGUAGGUGGGUCUGGGGUACUGCACCUCCUCAUGAAUAUUCACACUUGUGUAUGAAAUCGCAGUUUGUGAUUGGCUGUGACCGCCGGAAGUCCUCAUAAUUUCGGGUUUUGUCAGACCACUGUGUUAAUGUGUUUACCUCACACGAGUUAAUGCAGUUUACUAACUAUUUAAACAUUAUUGUUUUAUAAUUUAUCAAUUGUCAAUGAAAUAUAUAAAUGCAGAGUGACCCUGCAAUGAUAAAUAAUCCGUAAAUAUCAUAUUAUGAAAAAUGAAAAUAGCUUGAAAGCUGUUCGCAAUCAGUUUAAUGGAGAAACGCGACCCUAACCACACUAUUAACUGCUAUAUCAUAGACUAUAUCAUAGAUGGCUAUUUACAUACAUAAUGGUAUUAUUAUUCUACAAUAUCGUUUAUUAUAAUCCAUAUGGUCUAAUAAUCAUAGUUUAGCGUCGCGUUUAUUUCCUGUUUGGACCGGGUGGAAACUGCAGCUGAGAAGACACCUGUGAUUUGGACCUGUUUAAAGCAACUAUUACUGGAAAGCAGACACUCUGAGAGCCCAAGCCACUGGAUGAGGCGUAGUUUUCACUUCAGAACAAAGACAGAUUCAUCAAUGAUUUUAAAGGGAGAGGAGUGUUCAGUUGCUCUGAGUUUCAUAAGGGAGAUUUCCUGCUUGAAUAUGGAGGAGACUAAGAAAAGAAGAAGAACGAGAGCGAAGGCAAAGAGUAUCUCAUCAUGACGAGUUUCAUUACGAUGGAAAACUCCUCUGUGUUGAUCAGCCCGAGAUGACGGUUCCCUUGGUUGACCAUAUGAACCCGACCUGCAGGAUGAAGACUAUCGCUGUGGAUGGAAAACCUCAGCUAUGCUUGUUUGCUCCAAACAAUGAAGAGAUCACAUAUAAUCAUGGUGAUCCUGAGUGGCCAAGUGAUGCACGAUGAGCCAUUUGAAAACUCACAUGGCUGAAGUUGGGGUGAUCUCGGGAGGCGAUACCUUCAGACUGACGGCAGGAGAUGAGAUCAGAAUGACUGGAUGCCAGUAAUCCUGAUGAAAGCCAUCCUGAGGAUGAUCAUUUCUCCAAUGCUUUUGAUCUGCUGUACAGCACUCGAUGAAAAUCACUGUAUUUCUGGAAAGCGGCUUUAAUACAAUCUGUAUAUUAAAAAGCGCUAUUUAAAUAAAGGUGAAUUGACCGCAAUCUCUUUAAUUUGUUUCCAACUAUUUUUAUUACUAUUUAUGUUUAUGAAAUAGUAAUAAAAAUAUCUGAAAACAAAUUAAAGACAUCUAUCUAAAUGAAUUCCAUCUCUUUGCAUUUUACAGUUGUUGUUGUUGUUGUUUUUCUUUUCACACAAGACAGAUUGUAGUGUACCUUGAGAUUUAUGUAAAAUUGUCAGGCCAACAACUAAUGUUGACAACAAGCACUAAUAAACUCUGCUCCUUGCACAA